CUCUUCCGCCUGCUGCGGGCAGAUGAAAUGGAUGUGCGCGUCGAUCGCGCCGGCGGUCAGGAUGCGGCCCUCGCCGGCGAUGAUCUCCGUCCCCGGCCCGAUGACGAUGUCGACGCCGGGCUGGGUAUCGGGGUUGCCGGCCUUGCCGAUCGCCGCGAUCAGGCCGUCGCGGAUCGCGACAUCGGCCUUGAUGAUCCCCCAAUGAUCCAGGAUCACGACAUUGGUGAUGACGGUAUCGGCGGCGCCUUCGGCCCGGCUGGCCUGGCUCUGGCCCAUGCCGUCGCGGAU
rnacentral:sRNA from 1 species